ensembl:lncRNA
UUUUUACAUUGGGCAACAAGUUUGAAUGUAGAAUUUAUUCUAAUUAUACAGUCAAUAAUCUGUCAGCGCACACACUUCCAGCACACAGGUCCAGCACACACUUCCAGCACACAGGUCCAGCACACACAUCCAGCACACAGGUCCAGCACACACAUCCAGCACACACACAUCCAGCACAUACAUACAGCACAUACACAUCCAGCACACACACAUCCAGCACAUACAUACAGCACAGACACAUCCAGCACAUACACAUCCAGCACACACACAUCCAGCACACACACAUCCAGCACACACACAUCCAGCACACACACAUCCAGCACAUACAUACAGCACACACACAUCUAGCACACACAUCUAGGACACACAUCCAGCACACACACAUCCAGGACACACACAUCUAGCACAAACAUCUAGGACAAACACAUCCAACACAUACACACAUCCAGCACACAUGUCCAGCACACACACACAACCAGCACACACGUCCAACACACACACAUCCAGGAAACACACAUCUAGCACACACAUCCAAUACACACACUUCCAGCACACACACUUCCAGCACACAUGUCCAACACACACACAUUCAGGACACACACAUCCAGCACGCAUGUCCAGCCCACACACACAUCCAGCCCACACACACACACAUCCAGGAAACACACAUCCAGCACACACAUCCAGCACACAUGUCCAACACACACAGACUCACACAUCCAGCACACACAUAUCCUGGAAACACAGAUCCAGCACACACAUCCAGCACACAUCCCACACACACACACACACACACAUCCAGCACACACAUCCAGCACACACAUCCAACACACACAUAUCCUGGAAACACAGAUCCAGCACACACAUCCAGCACACAUGUCCAACACACACACACACACAUCCAGCCCACACACACACACACACAUCCAGCACACAUGUCCAACACACACACACACACAUCCAGCCC